CCAAAUUGCCUAAAAUGGGGGAAAUUUGCCCCAAAAUGGGCCCCAAAUGGGCCUAGUUGGGCCUAAAAUGGGCCCAGCUGGGCCUAAGCUGAGGUAAAAAUGCCCCAAAAGAGCCCAAAUUGAGCCCAAAAUGGAUCCAAAUGGUGCCAAGGUAUCCCCAAAUAGGCCCAAAAUGGCCCAAAUGAACCAAAAUAGGGUGAAAUUGCCCCAAAAUGGGCCUAAAAUGAGGUAAAAAUGGGCCCAAAAUGGGCCUAAAAUGAGGUAAAAAUGGGCCCAAAUGGGCCUGAAAUGAGGGGAAAAUGCCCCAAAAUGGGCCCGAAAUGGAUCCAAAUGGCCCCAAAAUCAACACAAAUAAGGUAAAAAUGCCCCAAAUGAACCGAAAUUGGGUAAAAUUGCCCCAAAAUGGGCCUAAAAUGAGGGGAAAAUGCCCCAAAAUGGGCCCGAAAGGUCCCAAAUGGGCCCAAAAUGACCAAAAUUGGGUCAAAUUACCCCAAAAAUGGGCCUAAAAUGAGGUAAAAAUGCCCCAAAAUGGGCCCGAAUGCCCCUAAAAUGCCCCAAACUCCCCCAAAAUGCCCCAAAAUGAGGUAAAAAUGCCCCUAAAAUGCCCCAAAAUGACACAAAAUGACACAAAAUGAGGUAAAAAUGCCCCAAAAUGGGCCCAAAAUGCCCCAAAAUACCCCAAAAUGCCCCAAAAUGCCCCAAAUCCCCCCAAAUUUCAAUAGGCCCCAAACUGCCCCAAAAUGCCCCAAUUUCCCUCCAAAUUGCCCCAAAAUGACACAAAAUGAGGUAAAAAUGCCCCAAAAUGAGGUAAAAAUGCCCCUAAAAUGCCCCAAAAUACCCAAAAUGCCCCAAACUCCCCCAAAAUACGCCAAACUUCCCAAAAUACCCCAAAAUGCCCCAAUUUCCCUCCAAAAUGCCCCCAAAGACCCAAUUGCCCUCCAAAUUGCCCAAAAUACCCCAAAUUGCCCCCAAAUGAGGUAAAAAUGCCCGAAAAUGGGCCCAAAUGCGCAAAUAUGCCCCAAAAUGAGGUAAAAAUGCCCCUAAAAUGCCCCAAAAUACCCAAAAUGCCCCAAACUCCCCCAAAAUACCCCAAACUCCCCAAAUCCCCCCAAAAUGCCCCAAUUUCCCUUCAAAAUGUCCCCAAAGACCCAAUUGCCCUCCAAAUUGCCCAAAAUACCCCAAAUUGCCCCCAAAUGAGGUAAAAAUGCCCCAAAAUGGGCCCAAAUGCCCCUAAAAUGCCCCAAAAUGCCCCAACAUGAGGUAAAAAUGCCCCAAAAUGCCCCAAACUCCCCCAAAAUGCCCCAAAUCCCCCCACACUUCAAUAGUCCCCAAACUGCCCCAAUUUCCCUCCAAAUUGCCCCAAAUUUCCCUCCAAAAUGCCCCAAAAUGCUCCAAAACACCCCAAAAUACCCCAAACUCCCCAAAUUUACCCCAAAUCGCCCCAAAAUGCCCCAAAAUCGGCAGUUUUUGGCUUUGCCUGAUCCGGGCGGGUUUUGCCCCAAAGCGGCUGCGGGUCUGGGGGGGGGAGGGGCCAGAAGGGCCUUUUGAGGCCCCAAAAUCCCCCUAAUUAACCCCAAACCCCCUAAUUAACACCCAACCCCCUAAUUAACACCCAAACCAUGUAAUUAACACCCAAACGCACAUAAUUAACGCCCAAAAAACAUGUAAUUAACCCCAAAAACCCCGUAAUUAGCCCCAAAAACCCGUAAUUAACCCCAAAGCCGUAAUUAACUCGGCGUCUGUAAUUAAUGGACUCAAAGCACUUUAAUUAA